rnacentral:rRNA from 1 species
GUAGGGAAUCUUCCGCAAUGGACGAAAGUCUGACGGAGCAACGCCGCGUGAGUGAUGAAGGUUUUCGGAUCGUAAAGCUCUGUUGUUAGGGAAGAACAAGUACCGUUCGAAUAGGGCGGUACCUUGACGGUACCUAACCAGAAAGCCACGGCUAACUACGUGCCAGCAGCCGCGGUAAUACGUAGGUGGCAAGCGUUGUCCGGAAUUAUUGGGCGUAAAGGGCUCGCAGGCGGUUUCUUAAGUCUGAUGUGAAAGCCCCCGGCUCAACCGGGGAGGGUCAUUGGAAACUGGGGAACUUGAGUGCAGAAGAGGAGAGUGGAAUUCCACGUGUAGCGGUGAAAUGCGUAGAGAUGUGGAGGAACACCAGUGGCGAAGGCGACUCUCUGGUCUGUAACUGACGCUGAGGAGCGAAAGCGUGGGGAGCGAACAGGAUUAGAAACCCCAGUAGUCC